CAAUCCUAAUCCUCCGGUCAUUUUUCCUAUGAAAAUUGAAUAUGGCAUUUGUAUUGAUCUAUCAAUUCAAUUCUUGCACACUAAAAGGAAUCAUUUGAAUCAGCAUCAACCUUUCUUUCUUGCCUCUUCAUGUAUUUUCAUUAGUAAUGAAGAAACGUAAUUUGUCACAAAGCCUAUGGUAUUCCCAAGGAAACAAAAAGGCUCUCAGUAUUGAACCAACUAUGAGAUUCUUACAGAGCUUGGUUUAUUAGUUGUAAUAUUUCUUCUCGGGCUUGAUAUUGCAGUAGUUGACCAUUUCUUUCCUUUAAGAUUAUUAUCAGUAGUGUCCUUGGACUUCCUCGUGUUCGGAGGACUUUCAUCAACUGCUUGACUUGGGGCAACCUUACAUUGUGCAUGUCUACUUUGUAUAGAAUGAUGAUUCUUCAAAGCUGAAGGUCUUACUGCUUUGACUCUGUUUUUAUUUCCGAUCACUGCAUCAUUGUCAGGACUAGAUAAGACAGCACGUGGACGAGGGACUGAACCAGCUCUAAUAUUUGGUCUAUCCUCCUCAUCAAAAUGGCUUUUCUUGUCUUCUUCUUCAGAAGCAGACUCUGUUUGCAGGAGUAAGUUUGGUACAUAAGGCUUGGAAAUUCUUGCAAUGGGUGGCAUAGAAACAUCUCGGUACUCCUUCACUGAAAAUGAUAAAUGUCAUUAGGGAAUAUGAUCAAACUCCAAAAAAUCAAACUAACACCAAAUUGUGGAAAGGAAAAUGAUAUUCACUGAUUUCAUGUUCUAUAGUUCCUCUCCUCGGUAAAUAAGAAAGCAGCUCACUAGUUAAAUGAUUUUCCACCUCUUCUUUAUUUCAUGUUCUGUCAAAACCUAGCUAGACCUUAUCUAUCAUCACCCCAAACAUGCGGCUCCCACUUGUCUUAGUUCCACAAUGAACAACCUAGACAAGAAUUUUCGGUUCUAUCAAUUUAUUCAUCACCCAGCAAAGGAUCAUUUCUGUUGAAUACUCCUCAUCAAACAAUGAUAACAGCCCCCUCUCCCUAUUCCUCCCCAACUCUCUUCUCGCCCCCCAAAACCACGAGGAUUUCUGGCAGUUCUAAAGAGCAAAUACCAUUUUCACAAUACCAAAAGGAAGAAUCUUAGUCUAACAUUAAACAGGAAACAAAGGCUGAUAGAACCAUCAUUUUCAUCAAAACAGAUUAGGGGAUCAUAUGAUUUGAACAACAAAGUCUUAGCAGAUAAAUAUCAAUGAUAAUAGAAUUAAACAGCAUAGUUUAAUUAUGCCAAAACCGCUAUAAAAAAAGGCAUAUAUUUAAUAGCAAAUAAAUAUAAAUCCAGGAAAAAAUGAAAAUAAAGAAAGACUGAUAUAGAAUAGACAAGAGCAAGAAGUGCCUGGAAAACAAGAAUCCUGUAGUAAGAGAAACUGAAUAUCCUUGAAAGAAAGCAAAGAAUUCCAAUUCUUUUCAUGCCCAACAAGUUGACCAUCUUGGCCUUCUGUUCUAACCUUAACUUUUGGAUACAUUCUGUAUUGAACAGAGAUUAUCCUGCCGGUAAUGAAGCUGAGCUAUAGUAUGAAGUUUGCAAUGGGUUCUUAUGAUACGAAUUUGAUAUCAAGUAUCACAGGUAAGCAAGAAGGAAACAGAAGGAGGGAAAGAAAAGAAUGCUGUAACGGGGAUAUUCCCCAGAAAGCUUUUGUGCGCGGAUUUUGGUUCUAAAGUUUUGGAAGAGAUUGCUUAUGCCUUAUUGUUUGAAAGGAUGAAAGAAAUCAUCAUUUGGUCAAACACUGAAUUAAUGCAUAUGUAUGGCAAAUGGCAAGAGCAGCGGCUUGGCC
rnacentral:misc_RNA from 1 species